UCAAGUGACUAAGUGCAUGUGGCGGAUGCCUUGGCGAUCACAGGCGAAGAAAGACGCGGCAGCCUGCGAAAAGCUGCGGGGAGCUGGCAAACGAGCUUUGAUCCGCAGAUAUCUGAAUGGGGGAACCCACACCGUAAGGUGUAUCCGUAGCUGAAUACAUAGGUUACGGAGGCGAACGAGGAGAACUGAAACAUCUAAGUAUCCUCAGGAAAAGAAAUCAACCGAGAUUCCGGCAGUAGCGGCGAGCGAACCCGGAGGAGCCUAGCUUUUGAUAGUACGAACUUUAGCCGAAAGGUCCUGGAAAGGCCUGCUAUAGUGGGUGAUAGCCCCGUAGGCGAAAGAGUUGGUACGGUACUAAGGAAGCGAGAAGUAGAGCGGGACACGUGGAAUCCUGUUCGAAGACGGGGGGACCAUCCUCCAAGGCUAAAUACUCGUGAUCGACCGAUAGUGAACCAGUACCGUGAGGGAAAGGCGAAAAGAACCCCGGGAGGGGAGUGAAAUAGAACCUGAAACCGCAUGCAUACAAACAGUAGGAGCCUCGUCAGAGGUGACUGCGUACCUUUUGCAUAAUGGGUCAGCGACUUACAUUCUGUGGCGAGCUUAACCGAAUAGGGGAGGCGCAGCGAAAGCGAGUUCGAAAUGAGCGUUCAGUCGCAGGGUGUAGACCCGAAACCAGAUGAGCUAUCCAUGGCCAGGUUGAAGGUGUGGUAACACACACUGGAGGACCGAACCGACUAGUGUUGCAAAAUUAGCGGAUGAGCUGUGGAUAGGGGUGAAAGGCUAAACAAAUCUGGAGAUAGCUGGUUCUCCCCGAAAACUAUUGAGGUAGUGCCUCGUGUGUCGCUCCAGGGGGUAGAGCACUGUUUUGGCUAGGGGGACAUGGAGUCUUACCAAACCAAGGCAAACUCCGAAUACCUGGAAGCGUAAGCACGGGAGACAGAGCACCGGGUGCUAACGUCCGGACUCAAAAGGGAAACAACCCAGACCGCCGGCUAAGGUCCCAAAUAACAGCUAAGUGGAAAACGAAGUGGAAAGGCCGUGACAACCAGGAAGUUGGCUUAGAAGCAGCCAUCCUUCAAAGAAAGCGUAAUAGCUCACUGGUCGAGUCCUUCUGCGCGGAAGAUGUAACGGGGCUAAGCUGUUAACCGAAGCCGCGGAUGCGCUGGUUAUCCAGUGCGUGGUAGGGGAGCGUUCUGUAAGUCUGCGAAGGCGGUUCGAGAGGACUGCUGGAGAUAUCAGAAGUGCGAAUGCUGACAUGAGUAACGUUAAAGCAGGUGAAAAGCCUGCUCGCCGUAAGCCCAAGGAUUCCUGCUCUACGUUCAUCGGAGCAGGGUGAGUCGGCUCCUAAGGUCAGGCCGAAAGGCGUAGCCGAUGGGAAUCAGGUUAAUAUUCCUGAACCUGCGUCAGAUGCGAUGGGGGGACGGAGCAUGGGAGAUCAUCCGGGUGUUGGAAGUCCCGGUUGUUUAGCGUAGGAGGUCUGCAGGCAAAUCCGCAGACGCAUCUCCAAGGCAAAGACACGUGCCGCUACGGCGGCGAAGUGAUCGGAAGUGCUUCCAAGAAAAGCCUCUAAGCUUCAGUCUGACGCGGACCGUACCGCAAACCGACACUGGUGGGCGAGCUGAAUAUGCUCAGGCGCUUGAGAGAACUCGGGAGAAGGAACUCGGCAAAUUGACACCGUAACUUCGGAAGAAGGUGUGCCGUAGUACCGUGAGAGGAGAGACACCUUGAGCGGGAAACGGUCUCAGAGAAUAGGUGGCUGCGACUGUUUAUUAAAAACACAGCACUCUGCAAAGUCGAAAGACGACGUAUAGGGUGUGAUGCCUGCCCGGUGCUGGAAGAUUAAUUGAUGGGGUGAGAGCCCUUGAUCGAAGUCCCAGUAAACGGCGGCCGUAACUAUAACGGUCCUAAGGUAGCGAAAUUCCUUGUCGGGUAAGUUCCGACCUGCACGA
rnacentral:rRNA from 1 species